GUUGAGGUCUAUCCCGAUGGGGCUUCUCUUGUAGCCACUGUUGGAAACGCCUAAUAGAGUUAAUUCUGUGGUUUUGCUUUCCUCAUAGGACUGUUUGUUAGGCCUGUGGGAAGUAACUACAAGACAAUU
ensembl:snoRNA